rnacentral:rRNA from 1 species
UACGAAGGGGGCUAGCGUUGUUCGGAUUUACUGGGCGUAAAGCGCACGUAGGCGGAUCGAUCAGUCAGGGGUGAAAUCCCACGGCUCACCCGUGGAACUGCUCGGUAUACUGGUCGUCUUGAGCCUUCUAGGGGCGAGUGGAACAAAUGGUGGAGCGGUGAAAUGCGCAGAUAUCAGGAGGAACACCAAUGGCGAAGGCAGCUCGCUGGGACGGUACUGACGCUGAGACGCGAAAGCGUGGGGAGCAAACAGG